UGGGGCUCGUUAGCCGUGGGGUCGCGAGAUCGAAAUGAGUUUUCUUCACCUUUUGGUAUGCGAAGUCUGGUCGCGCGCUCGCCAAUCGCGAUCUCGGUCAAAGAAACCCUAGACCAAUCCCGCAGCCGCCUCCCUCGCCAAUCCCGCAGCCGCCUCCCUCGCUUCCUCCCCCUGCUACUCUAGCCUCCUCUCCUGCCAGCGCCGCCGCCGCGCCCUUCCCACCCGCACGCAACCCACCCUCCUCCUCGACUUCCCUCCUAGCCGCCGCUGCCUCUCCUUCUCUUCCUCCUCUCUCUCUGCUGCUCCGCCGUCCUCCCCAUCCACCCAUGCUCCACUCCUAUCCUGAAUCGAUCCCGCUGGAUCUAAGGCUUCUCCGGCGGUGACGACGACCUGUAGGCAAAGGGCGAUGGCGGGAGAGGUGAGGGAGGUGCGGCAGCAUAUCGGCCUGUGAUGGUGAUGUCGGGCUCCACCAUUCCCGCCCCUCGUCCUCACGCGGCCUCUCUUGGUCACCGGCGCUGCAGUUGUGCGGGGCGUGAGGAGAGCGAGGAGAGGGAGGGGAAGAGUGGGAGGCGCGAGGACGGACGCCAGGCAUGCGGUGCUGGUCGUGGAGGACUACAUGCCCCCUCUUGCUCGCUUUGCGUACGCGUCGCUGCUGUUCUUGCAACGGUGCCGCUGCUGUGGAGGGCUUGGUUUAAGCUUGUUUAUGGCGGGAUGGGGAGGGCAUGAGGCAUCAUCGCCAGAUCGCGAAGGAUGUUACCAAGUGGGGACUACGCUCCGGUCGCGGCGGGGUGCAGCCGCGGGGAAGACAAACUUGGUCCGUCGUCCGUCUUCGCCUCUCCGCCCCGUCCUUGCUGCCUCCAUGGCCAAGCGUACGUAUUUUUUUCCUCUUCCUCCAUGGCCCUCGUUGCCGUCGGGAUCUCGAGGAACAGGUGACCUCCAUGGUGCUCGCUGCCUCUUUGAAUAGGCAAGGUGGAUUCAACACACACAGUCUAGGAAGGCCACGGGAUGACUGUGAUGCAGUGAGGGCAACAGCGACAAUGGAGGAAUCUAUGCUCGUCGAGUUUCCACCCCAACGGCUGCCUCCGGAGCAGGAGAGUUCAAGGACAUCUCCCAGUUCAUGGGAGAGACUCGAGCACAGAUAGGGUUUGGGUAGAGCUUGAUUCCACUCCCACCGAGCAUACAUAGUUGCGUUGUUGUACAAAGAUCCCUUUUUGAUGGUGCCAUGGUGCCCCUCUCUAGGCAAGCUACAAUCAUCUUCCCUCAUCAUUUCUUGUAUUUUUUUUUAAAAAAAUUACACACUGAGCUAUAGAUGGUCGGAUCUGUUGUAUGAGGCAGAACAUGAAUAAGAACAAUUAUCAACUUUUUAGUGUGCAGGUUUAUGACUGCAUUACAGAUCUUUGUGGGUGCCUGUACAUGCCAUUUUAGUAGUUCGAUUAUGUAUUACCUGGAAUUAGUCAAGUGAUUAGUUAUUACCUAUGGUAUUUGGACCUUAUUUGGUUUGGUCAAUUUAUUAGUCAUUGACCAUCCAUUUUUCUAAAUUUAUUGGUAUUUUUAAUAUGCCAUCUGUGUCAGCACACUAAUGUCAAAUCUGGUGGACAAGUCCCAGUCCAUGGAGAAAACACUUGCACAUGUGAGUUCUUUCUUGCUCUUCUUCAUCUUUCCAUGGUGGCGUCCUUUUUUUCCAUUCUUCUUAGUUUUCAAGGGCGUGUUUUGGGCUUUAGAUUAAUUUGGUUGUGCAGAUGGUGUUACUACCAUGUGGCCCUAAGACCAGUUCGAUAUUCAUGCCCGAAAUAAAUACUCUCAGGUUUGCUGGUAUGGUGUGCCUAUUACCAGCUUUCAUGAUGGUUUUUACCAUCGAUAGGCCCUGGAAAUGAGUUCUUUGCUUGCUGUUGUGUGCCUCUGUUCUGUUCUGGGUUGCUUGAUGCAUUGAUCUACUUUUGAUUAUUUCCUUUUUAUGUUGUGGUGACAGUAUUGGUACCUCAUAAUUAUUGAAAUGUGGUAAACUCCAUUCUUUUAUAUUGCACCGUACUUUCCAUAGUUUUGGCAAGCAAUGACUCUAAAGUCACUGCCUAUAACUUCCCAUUUUGAAUGUUUCUUUGAAUCACUGGCUAUAACCUCCAAUUUGGAAUUGCUUCCUUGGUAGGCACAAUGAGUUUUAAUUUGUCUGUAUAAUUUUCAAAAUGUCAUGAUGGUUUUAGAUAGUGGAGGUGAAAUCCAUCCAAGCAGGGAGAGAAGUUUUGAUUUUCUUACCUGUGUGUUCGUAGUUAGAAAACUAAUUUGCCACUUUUUAAUUUUUUUGGGGAUAUAACAAGAGAGUACCAUUGUUAAAAAUCUAUAUUUUUCAAGCAGUUACAAGUUGUUAGUGACCAAAUGGAUAUGUUUCUUUCUGAAAAUGGUACCCUUAUGUGCAGGCUUUUCUCUUCAGGGAUUGUCACAUUGCUUAAUGCUUGACAUGCAUAUAUGUGUUUUCCCUUCAAGGCUUGAAGUGUGGUUACCGCAACAUGCAGAUACAGUUUUGUCGUCCAUUCAUGAUCAUAUUUGGUCUCUCUUAGUGGUCAGUCUAUGGUAAAUCUAAUAGUUGCUCUUGACAGUGAUGCAGGAUAUGAGGUACGACUAUCAAAGUGACAUUAAUUUUGGUUUUGCUUCCUAUCCGCAGCCUCUUCUACACUAGAUUUGAGAUAGAAAAUAAGAACUAGGAACUUUUCUGAGCUUUUGUAUGUUCCGUCUACAUCACAAGCGGUCUUCCGAUUGUGUCGAGUGCAUCACAAAGGCGCAGGAGGAAAAAGGAAGAAUCAGCCAAAAUCUGACAAGAUGCAAAGGCACAUAUCAAGUGUGUACCACAGUCAAAGGGAUUCAGUCCAGUGUGGGCAUACGUCAAGCUGUCGCUUGAGACCGCCAUCAUGCUCUGCUGCAAAGUUUUGUAUCUCUUCAUGAUCACUGUCCUCACCGACAUUGUCCAGGAUGCGCAGAUUGAUUGUCAACUCGCUUGGCAUCUGGUACUUAGUGGCUUACUUUUACUACUUAAAUAAUACUGAAUUUUGGUCAUGUUGCUUCUGUUUUAUCCUGUUGGCGACAGAUUGGAUUGUUUAUUUUAUCUGAAAGCAUUAUUAUUCCCCCUCAUCAGUUGGAUGGCUUUUAAGACGUGCUGAUCUCUCCUUUCUUCUAACUGACUAGCUGAUCUCUCUUUUCUUCUAACUGACUAGCUGAUCUUCAUUUGGAGUGGAAUUGUUCGUUAGUGCAGCUAGCUAGCAUAUAUUGGAUAAUAUGGAUCGGCCCUGUACUCUUGGUUGUUAAUUUAGCUACCAAAUUUGUUUUAUAUAGAAGUUUACAAAGCUGCAUGCCAUCAAGAUUGUAGCCAAUUAACACGCAUGCAUCUAUAUGACUCUCUCAGCAGGUUCUUUUAGAGUCUUACAACAUGACAUUCUAUUGCAUUUUAGUCUUUCCUGCUCCUUAUUUGCAUUUUAGUCUCUUCGAUAAUAACGACCUUGCAGUCCCAAUGGAGACAACUGCUAAAGUUGGUGUGAUAUUCGAGAAAAUUCUUAUGGAGACGGUGAAACCCCGCGAUGAGCAGGAACACGACAUGUGCCUUGAACAGAGGAUGCGGGACUGUUGGUCACAUUUGGUUUUCGACUUGCGUGUCUAAAUAUUCUCACAAUACUUGACUCCCUCUCGGCCUUUGCGCUAUUAGCGCAACGAGUCAUCUUUCCACUCUAAAACAAACUACCUUAGACCCUGUUGCCAUGGUCUUGCUCCACUCUAAAACAAACUGCCUUGGACCCUGCUGCCGGCCUGUCUCUUUCCACUCUAAAACAAACUAUUUUGGCAAUUCAAGAUUCACUUGUUGCUCUUCAAAGCACUACCGCCGCUGCACGUGCCUCCCUAGAGGAAAAGGGCAUGUACUCAGAGGAUGAUGUGGCUCAACCAACCUACGAUGGGCUUUCUGAUGAAGAAACCGAUGAAGAUUACCAUCAAGACAUGGAUGAUGACUACGCUCACUAUGUGCGAUCCCCAUGAGCACUGUCUAAGGCCUCCUAACUGAUCAGCAAGUGAAGCUUUCUAUAUAUAGCUUCGUGAUGACAAUGCUCACUAUGUCCGAUCCCCAUGAGUGUCAUAUUGAGCCUGCUAAACUAUCUCUUUGCCAUGUCAAGCUGUGUAUGUAUGGCUUCACCGCUAGGAAGCGGCCCUGUGUCUGCUGUGUUUAGUCUCCUAGGUUGCUUAAAUAAGAUGCGAAGCUAUCUACUCAUAGCUUUGGCCUAGAAAUGUUUAUCCUUUCUGAACUUGACUCUGGUCAUGUAUAAGUAUGAAGUCUGUGUUGACGUGUUAAUACAAUGUUAUUUAUCUAUGCUACGCCUUUGCUUUUAUCCACUGUGAUUCUUCUUUUCAGUAUCUUCACUGUGUAAGCGGGGAAGCAGCAAUGGACCAUACAGCUGACCGGCGGCUCCACCAACAAUCCAUCCAUCCCUACAAAAGAAAGAGAUAAAAAAUCUCACAAUGGAAGACAUGGACAUUGGCAUCGUCUGUUACGACGGUUCCCCAGGAUCAGCAGCAUCAAGGACAGCAACGCCUGCGCCCAAUGAGAAUGACUAUCUGAUAGUAAUUCCUUAUGCCCACAUAUUCGCCCUGAUGUUGAAAGCUCUAAAGUUACCCCCUGCAACUUAUUAUCACAAGAUAUGCCCAGGCGGAAAGAAUCGUGUGACGGUUACUUUCAUUUCUUCUUUGGAAUUGCUCGAUGGUGCACUUGUUCCAAGUUCUCUGUCAGGUGCAAUCUUAGAUAGCUAUGAAGAUGCUGAAGACAGUGCUGCUAUUGAAGCUAUUAGAUACAUGGAAAAUGCAUAUGGCAAAGAAAUGAGGGACUACCACUACACUCAUGUCAAGAAGCUUGAAAAUCAAGUGACGGACCUGGUCAAAUGGUUGGUUGCAUCAAAUAAAACAAUCAAGAAGCUGCGCAAAACAUGCUACUACGCUGUCAGGUAUAUGAGCUCAUAUUCUGCCCAAAUAGAAAACACAACGACUGCUCGGCAUUUGAAAGGGCGGGAUAGCACCAAGGGAGUUAUGAAAACAGCGCCGGCAAGCAUUGAAGGACUGACGCAGAGGCUACGCUACAUUGCUAUGAAGUUUGAGCAGCGCCUCGAAGCAACCAGAAAUAGUUUCCGGUGAGCUUUGGUCAAUGUGUCCUGAACAACAUGCUUCUGUGCUUACUAAAUCAGGCACCUUUUGUUUCGUAUCGAUCAGACAAGGAUCUUUCGCAUUUUGGCGUACUCCAAGCAAGAUAUGUGUACACUUUAGUCUUAACUUGCUGCCUCUAUGCUGAAAAGUAGUGUAUGAUAUAGUCUAUGAUCUUUAAACUUUGUUGUUAUCUCUGUACUCAGAAGCGGGUUAUCAUCGCUUACUCUAUAUAUGUGAAGGCCUUUUCUUCUGCUA